rnacentral:tRNA from 1 species
GGUCACAGAGCUCAGCCAGUUGGAGCAUGGUGCUGCUAACACCAAGGUCGUGGGUUCAAUCCCCAUUCGGUCCC